GAUGAACGCUGGCGGCGUGCUUAACACAUGCAAGUCGAACGGAGUAAUAUGAAGCUUUCUGGCGGAUUAUUACUUAGUGGCGGACGGGUGAGUAACGCGUGGGUAACCUACCUCAUACAGGGGGAUAACAGUUGGAAACGACUGCUAAAACCGCAUAAUAAGUUGAGACCGCAUGAUCUUAACUUCAAAUAUUUAUAGGUAUGAGAUGGGCCCGCGUCUGAUUAGCUAGUUGGUGGGGUAAUGGCCUACCAAGGCAACGAUCAGUAGCCGGCUUGAGAGAGUGACCGGCCACAUUGGGACUGAGACACGGCCCAAACUCCUACGGGAGGCAGCAGUGGGGAAUAUUGGACAAUGGGGGCAACCCUGAUCCAGCGACGCCGCGUGAGUGAAGAAGUAUUUCGGUAUGUAAAGCUCUAUCAGCAGGGAAGAUAAUGACAGUACCUGACUAAGAAGCCCCGGCUAACUACGUGCCAGCAGCCGCGGUAAUACGUAGGGGGCAAGCGUUAUCCGGAUUUACUGGGUGUAAAGGGAGCGUAGGUGGCUCGAUAAGUCAGAAGUGAAAAGCCCAGAGCUCAACUCUGGGACUGCUUUUGAAACUAUCGAGCUAGAGUGCAGGAGAGGUAAGUGGAAUUCCUAGUGUAGCGGUGAAAUGCGUAGAUAUUAGGAGGAACACCAGUGGCGAAAGCGGCUUACUGGACUGUAACUGACACUGAGGCUCGAAAGCGUGGGGAGCAAACAGGAUUAGAUACCCUGGUAGUCCACGCCGUAACGAUGAAUACUAGCUGUUGGGGUUAUCAUGACCUCGGUGGCGCAGCUACGCAAUAAGUAUUCCACCUGGGGAGUACGUUCGCAGAUGAA
rnacentral:rRNA from 1 species